GACGAACGCUGGCGGCGUGCCUAAUACAUGCAAGUCGAGCGAAUCAAUAGGAGCUUGCUCCUGUUGGUUAGCGGCGGACGGGUGAGUAACACGUGGGCAACCUGCCUGUAAGACUGGGAUAACACCGGGAAACCGGUGCUAAUACCGGAUAAUCCUUUUCCUCUCAUGAGGAAAAGCUGAAAGUCGGUUUCGGCUGACACUUACAGAUGGGCCCGCGGCGCAUUAGCUAGUUGGUGAGGUAACGGCUCACCAAGGCGACGAUGCGUAGCCGACCUGGGAGGGUGAUCGGCCACACUGGGACUGAGACACGGCCCAGACUCCUACGGGAGGCAGCAGUAGGGAAUCUUCCACAAUGGACGAAAGUCUGAUGGAGCAACGCCGCGUGAGCGAUGAAGGCCUUCGGGUCGUAAAGCUCUGUUGUUAGGGAAGAACAAGUACCGGAGUAACUGCCGGUGCCUUGACGGUACCUAACCAGAAAGCCACGGCUAACUACGUGCCAGCCGCCGCCGUAAAAC
rnacentral:rRNA from 1 species